rnacentral:rRNA from 1 species
AACGAACGCUGGCGGCAUGCCUAACACAUGCAAGUCGAACGAAGGCUUCGGCCUUAGUGGCGCACGGGUGCGUAACGCGUGGGAAUCUGCCCUUUGGUUCGGAAUAACAGCUGGAAACGGCUGCUAAUACCGGAUGAUGACGAAAGUCCAAAGAUUUAUCGCCAGAGGAUGAGCCCGCGUUGGAUUAGGUAGUUGGUGGGGUAAAGGCCUACCAAGCCGACGAUCCAUAGCUGGUCUGAGAGGAUGAUCAGCCACACUGGGACUGAGACACGGCCCAGACUCCUACGGGAGGCAGUAGUGGGGAAUAUUGGACAAUGGGCGCAAGCCUGAUCCAGCAAUGCCGCGUGAGUGAUGAAGGCCCUAGGGUUGUAAAGCUCUUUUACCCGGGAAGAUAAUGACUGUACCGGGAGAAUAAGCCCCGGCUAACUCCGUG